AUUGAACGCUGGCGGUAGGCCUAACACAUGCAAGUCGAACGGCAACACACUGAGAGCUUCCUCUUACGGGUGGCGAGUGGCGUACGGGUUAGGAACACAUCCAAAUCUACGUUUUCGUUGCGGGUAACGGAAGCAAACUUACGCUACUACCUCUUACUGCCAGCGGGGGAAAGCAAGGCCUCUUCCGACCUUACCCGCUUGUAUCAGCCGAUGUCGGAUUAGCUAGUUGGCGGGGUAAAGGCCCACCAAGGCGACGAUCCGUAGCUGGUCUGAGAGGAUGAUCAGCCACACUGGAACUGAGACACGGCCCAGACUCCUACGGGAGGCAGCAGUGGGGAAUAUUGGACAAUGGGCGCAAGCCUGAUCCAGCCAUACCGCGUGGGUGAAGAAGGCCUUCGGGUUGUAAAGCGCUUUUGUUGGGAAAGAAAAGCCGCUGGUUAAUACCCCGCUGUAAUGACGGUACCGAAAGAAUAAGCACCGGCUAACUUCGUG
rnacentral:rRNA from 1 species